rnacentral:rRNA from 1 species
UACAGAGGUCUCAAGCGUUGUUCGGAUUCAUUGGGCGUAAAGGGUGCGUAGGUGGCGCUGUAAGUCGGGUGUGAAAUUUCGGAGCUUAACUCCGAAACUGCAUUCGAUACUGCGGUGCUUGAGGACUGGAGAGGAGACUGGAAUUCAUGGUGUAGCAGUGAAAUGCGUAGAGAUGUGGAGGAAUACCGAUGGCGAAGGCAGCCCCCUGGGAUAACACUGACGCUCAUGCACGAAAGCGUGGGGAGCAAACAGG